rfam:Trichobilharzia regenti genome assembly, scaffold: TRE_scaffold0013720
ACCAGCUGACGAGUCCCAAAUAGGACGAAAUGCGCAUCCUGGAU